UUUAUCCGAGGCCUAAAAAAGGGAUCAGAUCCUUGCACCUCAGCAGAGGGCGCCGUUCCUAGGCCUUCUUCUUCCUCAUUUUCUUAGAAAUAAUCAGAGGACCCCUCUUUUGGAAAGACCCCUUGAACAACGGCGUAGCUUGCCCCCUUCUCCUCCUUUCCUUCAUCACCUCCAACCAUCAGAUCCCUUACCCAAGAACCCAGAAACCAGAGAAAUAAUCAGAUCGUUCACAUAAAAGAAAAGAGACCCCUUUGUAUUUGCUUUCUCAAAAAGAGGAGCGCCGUUUCUGGCUCUCCAUCUUCACCAAGAGAGCCGCCUGGUCCCCUCCCUUAAAAAAAUAGACCAUCGGACCCCCCAUUCCCCAAGCACACACGAGAUAGUGAAGAACCAAUUUCAAAAUUCCGAAUUCAAAACCCAGAUCUGAAAAUGAAAUUUCGAAAUUCAAAGUUCACCCUGAGAUUUAUAACUCCACAGACCUCAAAAACUAAAAAAAAUGAGUGAAAGGAAGAUCUCGAAGAGCUGUUGCCGUUUCUACUGAUUUCGCUUUUUUGGAAUUACUGGGAUUUCAAAAAUGCUGCUGUUCUGUAUUGGAAUUAUUAGUUGAGCUCUACUGCUUGUUUGCUUAAGAGGUAAACUCAAAAGCACCCCUUUGUAUUUUGUUAUAUUUAGUGAUGAAUGCUUGAACAGUGAAGUGAGUUCCAAUUGUUUGUGAUAUUGAGUUUAAUCAUUUAUUUCUCCUACUGGUUCAAUUCUGUUAGAAGCUAGAGUUACGUUUUCCUUAAUACUUCUGCAAUCUGCCAUGUUGUAUAUGGACGUUAAGCGAAAUAGACCUUCAUUUAUAAAAGAAGAACAAUAACUUUAAAUAGCAUCUAUUUGAAUCUUUAAGGUUAUGCAUUUUAGUAAGGAGGGAAUACGGUGAAGUGGAGGUUUGGUCUUCCAGAUCAUUAUCUUCAAGGAAAUCAUAAUAUUAGUUUCUGUUGCACAGUGAAGUGGAGGUUCUUAGAAGAUGAAAAUAAUUAUUUCUUGUAGUUUCUUUUCCGAUUUGAAAUCACGUUUCCCUUAUUUAAUUGUUUAUUUGUCUUGUUUUAGAUUAGUUCAAAUUAUUUAGUUUUCCAUCUUCACUGGUUUUGACAUUUUCGAUUUGGCACACUUUGGUUUGAAUGAGUUAUAUAAAGUACUGAAGAUUUUAUUUUCUUGGUUCUUUCCCUUUUGUUGCUUGUUGCUGGUUUAAAGGAGCAGGCCAAUAUUUAGUUAGUUAAGAACUUGAAAUAUGUAUUAAUUUUACAUCCUCUAAUACUUUAUCAGUGUUUGAACAAAAUAUUU
rnacentral:lncRNA from 1 species